AUAACCUUUAAACUGGUCCUGAGAGACCUGCAAGGAAAUACAUGGUCAACAGAUUAUUAUAUCAGGAAAAAAAGAAAUGGAAUGCAAACUCGCUUUUGUAAAAAGGCGGGUUUUUUUUGU
rfam:Omnitrophica WOR_2 bacterium RIFOXYA2_FTLL_38_17 rifoxya2_full_scaffold_233, whole genome shotgun sequence.